AUUGAACGCUGGCGGCAUGCUUUACACAUGCAAGUCGAACGGUAACAGGCCGCAAGGUGCUGACGAGUGGCGAACGGGUGAGUAAUGCAUCGGAACGUGCCCAGUCGUGGGGGAUAACGCAGCGAAAGCUGCGCUAAUACCGCAUACGAUCUAUGGAUGAAAGCGGGGGACCGUAAGGCCUCGCGCGAUUGGAGCGGCCGAUGUCAGAUUAGGUAGUUUGUGGGGUAAAGGCUCACCAAGCCGACGAUCUGUAGCUGGUCUGAGAGGACGACCAGCCACACUGGGACUGAGACACGGCCCAGACUCCUACGGGAGGCAACAGUGGGGAAUUUUGGACAAUGGGCGCAAGCCUGAUCCAGCAAUGCCGCGUGCAGGAAGAAGGCCUUCGGGUUGUAAACUGCUUUUGUACGGAACGAAACGGCUCUGGUUAAUACCUGGGGCUAAUGACGGUACCGUAAGAAUAAGCACCGGCUAACUACGUGCCAGCCGCCGCAGUAAUAC
rnacentral:rRNA from 1 species